rnacentral:rRNA from 1 species
GACGUAGGGCGCGAGCGUUGUCCGGAUUUAUUGGGCGUAAAGAGCGUGUAGGCGGCCAGGUAGGUCUGCUGUGAAAACUCGAGGCUUAACCUCGAGCUGUCGGCGGAAACCAUCUGGCUAGAGUCCGGAAGAGGAGAAUGGAAUUCCCGGUGUAGCGGUGAAAUGCGCAGAUAUCGGGGAAGAACACCCGUGGCGAAGGCGGCUCUCUGGGACGGUACUG